UACGUAGGGACCAAGCGUUGUUCGGAUUUACUGGGCGUAAAGGGCGCGUAGGCGGCGUGGUAAGUCACUUGUGAAAUCUCUGAGCUUAACUCAGAACGGCCAAGUGAUACUGCUGUGCUAGAGUGCAGAAGGGGCAAUCGGAAUUCUUGGUGUAGCGGUGAAAUGCGUAGAUAUCAAGAGGAACACCUGAGGUGAAGACGGGUCGCUGGGCUGACACUGACGCUGAGGCGCGAAAGCCAGGGGAGCAAACGGG
rnacentral:rRNA from 1 species